CUGUGGGGCUGGGGCACGGACACGUGAAGGGGUUCUCCACUCAGCUCCUCUUGGUUGUGGGACGGAAGCGCUCAGCUCCUGGAAGCCGGCUUCUCGCACUAGGAAGCAUCUCUGAGGCCAGCAGGAGAUUGCUUCUGCUACUUUGAGUCUCUGCUUUCCGUGAAGGUCCAGUUUCUCUUUUAAGGGUUUUUAUCUGAUUAAGCAGCCUCACCCAGGAUAAUCUGCCUUUUAAUUAAUUCAGAAUCAACUGACUUGAGGCCUUAAUUACAUCUGCAAAAUCCCUCCACCAAGUUUGUGUCUUAUCUGCCCUCGUCACUGCCAAAUCCACUCCUUCCCAGUACCAGCCAGCCAAGUCUCUUCUCCAGACACCCUUUCUGCACACAGGCCAGGCUCCCAGGUCCCAUCCCUUCCCUCCUUGGACUGAAUGUCUCAGAAUACCGCUGCUUCAUCAGACCACAUUACAGCAUCUCCUGUAGGGCCAGGUCCAGCAUUCCCAGCCUCCUCGACUGGCCCUACCAGGCCUCCCAGCCCUGCUUCCGAGUCAUCCCUUCGAGCAGGGGCUCUGGACCCACCAGCCUGCUUAUAACUCUUCCACCCAGCCCCCAUCACCCUAUGCCAGCUCUGGGGCCUUUAUUUCUUCUGGCCACCCUGCCUGGAAGGCCCUUUUUUCAUUUCUCUCCACUGAGUCUGCUCUCUUCCAUUGCUCAUAUUUUCAGUUAGCAAUUAUUUCUUUGAGAGACUUCUGUGUGCUCUAGCGAUGCAGCGGUGGAAAGCACUUUCCAGGCCCUUGAGAAAUUUGCAGACUAGAGGAGCAGAUGUGCAAGGAAUAACAAAGCACUACGAUGAGGAAACCAAGGAAACUGGUCUGCAGCAUAGACACAGCCGUGGUGAAACGAUGAACCCGAUCGUCAGAAUCCAUCCCAGUGAUGUGUUAUUGCCGCUACAGCAAACUGCCUCUUGGCUUGCUUCACCUCAAAAGCCUUUUCUUAGUAUUCAGUCUGUUUAAUACAGACACACAUCGUGUCCGCUGCCUUGUCCACGGUGCUCAGCUCAGUGCCUGCCCUCAACAAUUGGAAGCCCCACUCUGAAAGGCAGUGCUCCCUUGGUGGCUUCUGGCAGGAUUGGAAAGCCAUAACUUUGGAGAGAAACACAAUAAACCAGAAAUUUCCUCCCAGGUGAGCAAGAAACUGCCUCUCUCCCUUUUGACGAGAGCAUUUUCCAGAACUUUGCUCAUCAAGUAGCUGGUUUUCAAGUCGUUUCUUCCAUUUGUAAGUGAACUCCGUUCCCGUCAACUGUCUGUUCUCCUCUCUGAUAGAUGGGACAGAGGCAUAGGCAGUCCACACAUAUAGGAGAACACAGAAGUAAUUUCCCUUUGGCUCAGGGCUGUGUUUCUGUAUUUACAUGUGAAUGGAGUGGCAUCUGAUGCUUUGAAAAUGUGCAGUGCUUGCUGCCAGAAGCACCGCUGUAUGGUGGAUUUUGGAGGACUUGUUCGGUUUUAUAAAUGCUUGUUUAGGUGCUAGGGUUACAAAGAUUCAUUCAUUCAUUCACCUAGCAUUUAUUGAGUGCCUACUAUGUGCUAAGUAUUGUACGAGCCAUUGGAGAAACAGCAGCAAUU